CGUAGGGUGCAAGCGUUAAUCGGAAUUACUGGGCGUAAAGCGUGCGCAGGCGGUUAUGCAAGACAGAUGUGAAAUCCCCGGGCUCAACCUGGGAACUGCAUUUGUGACUGCAUAGCUGGAGUGCGGCAGAGGGGGAUGGAAUUCCGCGUGUAGCAGUGAAAUGCGUAGAUAUGCGGAGGAACACCGAUGGCGAAGGCAAUCCCCUGGGCCUGCACUGACGCUCAUGCACGAAAGCGUGGGGAGCAAACAGGAUUAGAUACCCUGGUAGUCCACGCCCUAAACGAUGUCAACUGGUUGUUGGGAAGGUUCCUUCUCAGUAACGUAGCUAACGCGUGAAGUUGACCGCUUGGGGAGUACGGCCGCAAGGUUG
rnacentral:rRNA from 1 species